GACGAACGCUGGCGGCGUGCCUAAUACAUGCAAGUCGAACGCUGAAGGAGGAGCUUGCUUCUCUGGAUGAGUUGCGAACGGGUGAGUAACGCGUAGGUAACCUGCCUGGUAGCGGGGGAUAACUAUUGGAAACGAUAGCUAAUACCGCAUAAGAGUAGAUGUUGCAUGACAUUUGCUUAAAAGGUGCAAUUGCAUCACUACCAGAUGGACCUGCGUUGUAUUAGCUAGUUGGUGGGGUAACGGCUCACCAAGGCGACGAUACAUAGCCGACCUGAGAGGGGGGUCGGCCACACUGGGACUGAGACACGGCCCAGACUCCUACGGGAGGCAGCAGUAGGGAAUCUUCGGCAAUGGACGGAAGUCUGACCGAGCAACGCCGCGUGAGUGAAGAAGGUUUUCGGAUCGUAAAGCUCUGUUGUAAGGGAAGAACGAGUGUGAGAGUGGAAAGUUCACACUGUGACGGUAUCUUACCAGAAAGGGACAGCUAACUACGUG
rnacentral:rRNA from 1 species